GCCCCCGUGGACCAUGGUGGUCGCCUCGAAUUCUUUGAAUCGCUGCGAAGGAUGCUAACGAGGAGACGGAGGUUCGAUUCCUCCCGGGGGCA